rnacentral:rRNA from 1 species
CGGGACGGGUGAGUAACGCGUGGGUAACCUACCCUGUACACACAGAUAACAUACCGAAAGGUAUGCUAAUACGGGAUAAUAUAUUUGAGAGGCAUCUCUUGAAUAUCGAAGGUGAGCCAGUACAGGAUGGACCCGCGUCUGAUUAGCUAGUUGGUAAGGUAACGGCUUACCAAGGCGACGAUCAGUAGCCGACCUGAGAGGGUGAUCGGCCACAUUGGAACUGAGACACGGUCCAA